rnacentral:rRNA from 1 species
AUUGAACGCUGGCGGCAGGCUUAACACAUGCAAGUCGAGCGGGGGAAGGUAGCUUGCUACUGGACCUAGCGGCGGACGGGUGAGUAAUGCUUAGGAAUCUGCCUAUUAGUGGGGGACAACAUCUCGAAAGGGGUGCUAAUACCGCAUACAUCCAACGGGAGAAAGCAGGGGAUCUUCGGACCUUGCGCUAAUAGAUGAGCCUAAGUCGGAUUAGCUAGUUGGUGGGGUAAAGGCCUACCAAGGCGACGAUCUGUAGCGGGUCUGAGAGGAUGAUCCGCCACACUGGGACUGAGACACGGCCCAGACUCCUACGGGAGGCAGCAGUGGGGAAUAUUGGACAAUGGGCGCAAGCCUGAUCCAGCCAUGCCGCGUGUGUGAAGAAGGCCUUAUGGUUGUAAAGCACUUUAAGCGAGGAGGAGGCUACUUUAGUUAAUACCUAGAGAUAGUGGACGUUACUCGCAGAAUAAGCACCGGCUAACUCUGUGCCAGCCGCCGCCGUAA